UUUCACAAGGCCUUUAUAAGUUCUGGACUG
rnacentral:piRNA from 1 species